rnacentral:rRNA from 1 species
AUUGAACGCUGGCGGCAGGCCUAACACAUGCAAGUCGAGCGGAUGAAGGGAGCUUGCUCCUGGAUUCAGCGGCGGACGGGUGAGUAAUGCCUAGGAAUCUGCCUGGUAGUGGGGGAUAACGUCCGGAAACGGGCGCUAAUACCGCAUACGUCCUGAGGGAGAAAGUGGGGGAUCUUCGGACCUCACGCUAUCAGAUGAGCCUAGGUCGGAUUAGCCAGUUGGUGGGGUAAGGGCCUACCAAGGCGACGAUCCGUAACUGGUCUGAGAGGAUGAUCAGUCACACUGGAACUGAGACACGGUCCAGACUCCUACGGGAGGCAGCAGUGGGGAAUAUUGGACAAAGGGCGAAAGCCUGAUCCAGCCAUGCCGCGUGUGUGAAGAAGGUCUUCGGAUUGUAAAGCACUUUAAGUUGGGAGGAAGGGCAGUAAGUUAAUACCUUGCUGUUUUGACGUUACCAACAGAAUAAGCACCGGCUAACUUCGUG